ensembl:snRNA
UUGUCGCAUGAAAGGAAAGAAGCUUAGCAUUCCCCUUGACAAACCUAGAAGAGGCUCUUGGGCUUAUCUUGGGUCUUAAAUAUUGUGU